UACGGAGGUGCAAGCGUUAUCCGGAUUUACUGGGUUAAAGGGUGCGUAGGCGGGUAGGUAAGUCAGUGGUGAAAUCUUCGAGCUUAACUCGGAAAUUGCCGUUGAUACUAUUAUCUUGAAUAUCGUUGAGGUUGCGGAAUAUGUCAUGUAGCGGUGAAAUGCUUAGAGAUGACAUAGAACACCUAUUGCGAAGGCAGCAGGCUAAACGAACAUUGACGCUGAGGCACGAAAGCGUGGGGAUCAAACAGG
rnacentral:rRNA from 1 species